GGUUAAGCGACUAAGCGUACACGGUGGAUGCCCUGGCAGUCAGAGGCGAUGAAGGACGUGCUAAUCUGCGAAAAGCGUCGGUAAGGUGAUAUGAACCGUUACAGCCGGCGAUGUCCGAAUGGGGAAACCCAGUGUGAUUCGUCACACUAUCGUUAACUGAAUACAUAGGUUAACGAGGCGAACCGGGGGAACUGAAACAUCUAAGUACCCCGAGGAAAAGAAAUCAACCGAGAUUCCCCCAGUAGCGGCGAGCGAACGGGGAGCAGCCCAGAGUCUGAAUCAGCUUGUGUGUUAGUGGAACGGUCUGGAAAGUCCGACGGUACAGGGUGAUAGUCCCGUACACCAAAAUGCACAGGUUGUGAACUCGAAGAGUAGGGCGGGACACGUGGUAUCCUGUCUGAAUAUGGGGGGACCAUCCUCCAAGGCUAAAUACUCCUGACUGACCGAUAGUGAACCAGUACCGUGAGGGAAAGGCGAAAAGAACCCCGGCGAGGGGAGUGAAAAAGAACCUGAAACCGUGUACGUACAAGCAGUGGGAGCACCUUCGGGUGUGACUGCGUACCUUUUGUAUAAUGGGUCAGCGACUUAUAUUCUGUAGCAAGGUUAACCGUAUAGGGGAGCCGCAGGGAAACCGAGUCUUAACUGGGCGUUAAGUUGCAGGGUAUAGACCCGAAACCCGGUGAUCUAGCCAUGGGCAGGUUGAAGGUUGGGUAACACUAACUGGAGGACCGAACCGACUAAUGUUGAAAAAUUAGCGGAUGACUUGUGGCUGGGGGUGAAAGGCCAAUCAAACCGGGAGAUAGCUGGUUCUCCCCGAAAGCUAUUUAGGUAGCGCCUCGUGAAUUCAUCUUCGGGGGUAGAGCACUGUUUCGGCUAGGGGGUCAUCCCGACUUACCAACCCGAUGCAAACUACGAAUACCGAAGAAUGUUAUCACGGGAGACACACGGCGGGUGCUAACGUCCGUCGUGAAGAGGGAAACAACCCAGACCGCCAGCUAAGGUCCCAAAGUCACAGUUAAGUGGGAAACGAUGUGGGAAGGCACAGACAGCCAGGAUGUUGGCUUAGAAGCAGCCAUCAUUUAAAGAAAGCGUAAUAGCUCACUGGUCGAGUCGGCCUGCGCGGAAGAUGUAACGGGGCUAAACUGUGCACCGAAGCUGCGGCAGCGACACUAUGUGUUGUUGGGUAGGGGAGCGUUCUGUAAGCCUGCGAAGGUGGCCUGUGAGGGUUGCUGGAGGUAUCAGAAGUGCGAAUGCUGACAUAAGUAACGAUAAUGCGGGUGAAAAGCCCGCACGCCGGAAGACCAAGGGUUCCUGUCCAACGUUAAUCGGGGCAGGGUGAGUCGACCCCUAAGGCGAGGCCGAAAGGCGUAGUCGAUGGGAAACAGGUUAAUAUUCCUGUACUUGGUGUUACUGCGAAGGGGGGACGGAGAAGGCUAUGUUAGCCGGGCGACGGUUGUCCCGGUUUAAGCAUGUAGGCGGAGGUUCCAGGUAAAUCCGGUACCUUUUUAACGCUGAGGUGUGAUGACGAGGCACUACGGUGCUGAAGUAACAAAUGCCCUGCUUCCAGGAAAAGCCUCUAAGCAUCAGGUAACAUUAAAUCGUACCCCAAACCGACACAGGUGGUCAGGUAGAGAAUACCAAGGCGCUUGAGAGAACUCGGGUGAAGGAACUAGGCAAAAUGGUGCCGUAACUUCGGGAGAAGGCACGCUGAUAUGUAGGUGAAGCCCCUGCGGGUGGAGCUGAAAUCAGUCGAAGAUACCAGCUGGCUGCAACUGUUUAUUAAAAACACAGCACUGUGCAAACACGAAAGUGGACGUAUACGGUGUGACGCCUGCCCGGUGCCGGAAGGUUAAUUGAUGGGGUUAUCCGUAAGGAGAAGCUCUUGAUCGAAGCCCCGGUAAACGGCGGCCGUAACUAUAACGGUCCUAAGGUAGCGAAAUUCCUUGUCGGGUAAGUUCCGACCUGCACGAAUGGCGUAAUGAUGGCCAGGCUGUCUCCACCCGAGACUCAGUGAAAUUGAACUCGCUGUGAAGAUGCAGUGUACCCGCGGCAAGACGGAAAGACCCCGUGAACCUUUACUAUAGCUUGACACUGAACAUUGAGCCUUGAUGUGUAGGAUAGGUGGGAGGCUUUGAAGCGUGGACGCCAGUCUGCGUGGAGCCAACCUUGAAAUACCACCCUUUAAUGUUUGAUGUUCUAACGUUGGCCCCUUAUCGGGGUUGCGGACAGUGUCUGGUGGGUAGUUUGACUGGGGCGGUCUCCUCCCAAAGAGUAACGGAGGAGCACGAAGGUUAGCUAAUCCUGGUCGGACAUCAGGAGGUUAGUGCAAUGGCAUAAGCUAGCUUGACUGCGAGCGUGACGGCGCGAGCAGGUGCGAAAGCAGGUCAUAGUGAUCCGGUGGUUCUGAAUGGAAGGGCCAUCGCUCAACGGAUAAAAGGUACUCCGGGGAUAACAGGCUGAUACCGCCCAAGAGUUCAUAUCGACGGCGGUGUUUGGCACCUCGAUGUCGGCUCAUCACAUCCUGGGGCUGAAGUAGGUCCCAAGGGUAUGGCUGUUCGCCAUUUAAAGUGGUACGCGAGCUGGGUUUAGAACGUCGUGAGACAGUUCGGUCCCUAUCUGCCGUGGGCGCUGGAGAAUUGAGGGGGGCUGCUCCUAGUACGAGAGGACCGGAGUGGACGCAUCACUGGUGUUCGGGUUGUCAUGCCAAUGGCAUUGCCCGGUAGCUAAAUGCGGAAGAGAUAAGUGCUGAAAGCAUCUAAGCACGAAACUUGCCCCGAGAUGAGUUCUCCCUGAGACUUUAAGUCUCCUGAAGGAACGUUAAAGACGAUGACGUUGAUAGGUCGGGUGUGUAAGCGUAGCGAUACGUUGAGCUAACCGAUACUAAUGAACCGUGAGGCUUAACCUUACAACGCCGAAGAUGUUUUG
rnacentral:rRNA from 1 species